ensembl:snoRNA LOC120102633 small nucleolar RNA SNORA5
UGUAGCUGUGUCAAAUUCAGUGCCUGUCCUAAUGAUGGCAUGCACUGGCCCAGAAGGCUGCCAUAGAAACUGUGACUCCUGAGACCUGUUCCCAUGCCAGGUUCAGGAUGAAUUUAGUCACACACAUCA